UACGUAGGGCGCAAGCGUUGUCCGGAUUUAUUGGGCGUAAAGAGCUCGUAGGCGGUCUGUCGCGUCGGCUGUGAAAACCCGAGGCUCAACCUCGGGCCUGCAGUCGAUACGGGAAGACUAGAGUGCGGUAGGGGAGACUGGAAUUCCUGGUGUAGCGGUGAAAUGCGCAGAUAUCAGGAGGAACACCGGUGGCGAAGGCGGGUCUCUGGGCCGAUACUGACGCUGAGGAGCGAAAGCGUGGGGAGCGAACAGG
rnacentral:rRNA from 1 species